GAUGAACGCUGGCGGCGUGCCUAAUACAUGCAAGUCGAGCGAACAGACGAGGAGCUUGCUCCUCUGACGUUAGCGGCGGACGGGUGAGUAACACGUGGAUAACCUACCUAUAAGACUGGGAUAACUUCGGGAAACCGGAGCUAAUACCGGAUAAUAUAUUGAACCGCAUGGUUCAAUAGUGAAAGACGGUUUUGCUGUCACUUAUAGAUGGAUCCGCGCCGCAUUAGCUAGUUGGUAAGGUAACGGCUUACCAAGGCGACGAUGCGUAGCCGACCUGAGAGGGUGAUCGGCCACACUGGAACUGAGACACGGUCCAGACUCCUACGGGAGGCAGCAGUAGGGAAUCUUCCGCAAUGGGCGAAAGCCUGACGGAGCAACGCCGCGUGAGUGAUGAAGGUCUUCGGAUCGUAAAACUCUGUUAUUAGGGAAGAACAAAUGUGUAAGUAACUAUGCACGUCUUGACGGAACCUAAUCAGAAAGCCACGGCUAACUACGUG
rnacentral:rRNA from 1 species